CAGCCGCCGCGGGAAUACGGAGGGUGCAAGCGUUAAUCGGAAUUACUGGGCGUAAAGCGCACGCAGGCGGUUAUAUAAGACAGAUGUGAAAUCCCCGGGCUCAACCUGGGAACUGCAUUUGUGACUGUAUAGCUAGAGUACGGCAGAGGGGGAUGGAAUUCCGCGUGUAGCAGUGAAAUGCGUAGAUAUGCGGAGGAACACCGAUGGCGAAGGCAAUCCCCUGGGCCUGUACUGACGCUCAUGCACGAAAGCGUGGGGAGCAAACAGGAUUAGAUACCCCCGUAGUCCCUGUCUCUUAUAA
rnacentral:rRNA from 1 species